AAUCCAGGACAUAGCCAUUAUGCUAACUGCUGGUCUCCCCCAUCUGCUUCUUAACAAGGUCUGGUGGACGCAGUCACAUCUGCGGGGUGCCAACACCUGGCCCCUUCUCUGUUCACAGGUCGGGAGACCCACAAACCUGGACUGAGGAGCUACCCAGAGGUCCCAGCAACCGCCGGGGUCCGAGCAGCCAAAGGACACCACAGGAGCGAGCUCCCCUGGAGGUGGCAGCCUGGGUCCAUGACCCUCAUCGGCCAGAAAUCUCGAGGCCCCCAGAGCCGUGGGGCCAAGUGCUGCACUUAGAAGACGGAGGAUCCUACAGGGUGAACCCCACGGACCCACUCCACAGAGGGGAAACCGAGGCCCAGAGAACCCACAGCUCACCUGGGGCACGCACGAGGGAGCAGCCGCGCUCGUAACCACCCGGCCACCCGGGUCCUGCAUCUGGGCCCGUCCGACUCACCUUCCCCUCCCCGAGGGAGAUGAAUCCCAAGGGACACUCGGGUGCUCCCAGAGCUCAGAAGUGACCACGGCAGGGUCCAAAGUGGGGCAAGGGAGACAAGGCGAGGUCUGUAGGGACCCCACUUGACCGGGAAGCCCACCCGGGCGACGACAGCACCUCCGCCCCGUUCCAGGACAUGCACGGGCUGGGCUGAGCUGUCUGCUGGCCCCCGGCCUGCGGGCUGGUCACACGUCACACACCAUCACCCCCACACUGUCACAGCUCAGAUAUCCCACUUCAUUUAUUACCAAAAUAUCACAGAGUUCCAGUCAUGGGUGACAUACAGCAUGUAACACGGGCCUGACGCCGUGGGAAGGGCGGUGUCUGGACAGGUGGACUCGUUUGGAAUCGUUAAGUAAACACCCCACACCCUUAUCACUCACUCCGGACUUCAAAAAUACGCUUUGGAGAGCUCUGGAAACUGAAUUAAAAUGUCUACACAGCUAUGAACAAUUGUUUAAUAAAACUUUUUUCAUGUUUCCAUUACAUGUAAAUAUAUCAAUUUGGCAUCUCUAUAAAAACUCUGAAAAUGGUGCAAAAGUCUCAUCCUCUUUGAGAAAGCCAUUGACAAAAAAUAUUCACACGUCACUAAAAUUUUGAAAAAAUGGUCUUCUUUCAAAGCUUCUUUAUUCAUCUGAAAUCUUCUGGGUUUAUCAAAAUCUAGGUUUGCUUUUUCCUUCUAAAACACUAAAGAACAUUGAUUCACAAGGAUUAAGGAGGAAAAAAAAAGCGAUGGGGAGAUGGAAAACGGAUAAGGUUUUUUUUUUCUUCUGAAAAUCAUAAAAAAAAAAAAAAAAAAGCUAGUUACAUAAGCAUCCUCCAAAGAACACAAGGGGAUUCACUUUAUUGUUGACUUUUGGACAGCAGUGUCAGACUUUAUUGAAAACAAACCCAUGUGAAAACAAAGUUAAAAUGAAAAAUGGUACCUGAAAAAUAAAUUAUUUUAUAUAAAACAAAUCGAUAACUUAAAACACACUAAUAUACAAAACGUCCAAAACGUCUAGCCGUCUACUGUACAACGUGGGACUUGGUGGGAAGAGCCUCCCCCCACCCCCACCAGAGCUGGUCACUGUCAACGGAACAUCACAUGGUAAAAAAGAGGUGGCCCAGACCCACGGGAAAAGCCUUCUUUCCUGGUGCAAAGAAAAUGCAGUCCUCUCAAAGUCUCCCUUAGCCUAACGUCAGGUCCUUAUGGUGGCUCACAAGUUUCUUUAAAAAACAAAAAACCCCAACUUUUUAAAUGGCCAAGAGAAAAUGGAACUGUCACUGGAGGGUGGUGGAAAAAGUAGGCAACCAUCGCUAGCGUUUAGGGGAAACUGACCAGGUUUGGAAACGUGACCCCUGUCUGGGAUGGAGGCCGAUUCUGCAGCGAUCGGAACUCGACACAGAAAAGAAAGCACUUGUGACUGAAUUCAGGGCUGUCUUGGGAAAUCUGGGGACAGGAUCCCGGGGAGCCUCUGCUAAGGAGCUGCCUGCCUCAGGUCCAGUAGGCGAGGCUGGGCCGGGGAGGAGGGGGAGAGUUACACUGGAGGGAUGGGGCAGAGGCUGCUGCCACUUAGUUUUGAUUUUCUUUCAUCCAACACAGGGAGGCUGUGAAAAGCACACAGAGAUCAUCAAACUGGGCUGAAGUCCGAUAGGAAAUGGACGACCGAGGGAUGUCCACUCUGACUCCCAGGUCCGAGGCCGGACGCGAGGCGAGUUGCGCCUUUUCAACAACCUCUAGGAAGUGACCCCCAUGUGGAGGCGACCAUGGGGAGGGACUGCCACUGCCUGCAUUUCUGACCCAGCAGGGACCCUGGCUGCCAGCUUGCUCCCUGGCGCAGGCUUCCCAAACUCACACCAAGUGCAGACUCUCGGAGGUUAAGGCAGCUGCCCUUGGUGACGGACUCGCCUCCCACGUGGGGGAGAAGGCAGAGCCCACCCCGCACCAUCUGCACACAGGCCCGAGGACACCCGGCUUUCAGAUACUCACGCAAGAUGGUGGCCAGGGCCUAAGCACCCCGGAGGGGAUCGCGGUCACAGAACUGCGACUUGAGGCACAGGCAGAGCCAAGGCGGAACGGCUGAUUUAACUAGAAUCGGGUUGGCAGAGCGGUCGGCUUAGGGUUUAACUACCGGGGGGAGGUUACACGGGCCGAAAGAGAAUGCAAUCGAAACCUCUUUGGUGUUUACCAAAUUUCUGAGAAACUAACAUUAUCUACUCUUUCUUUUCAUCAAAAUUCCCAAGUAAAAGGAGAGCAUUCAUUGUGCUAAAUACAAGUAUGAUUAAUCUAUAAUAUAAAAGUUUGAAAGAAAUGGUUUCUUUGGGGCUGCGACCUUUAAGAACGGGGACCUUCCUUUUGCAGGCAAGCCUGGACAAGACGGAAUGAACUUUUACAGCCACAAGGCCUGCAUCUUGAAGCCCGGUGGGAGUGAGAACUGCUUCUCAGGAGCAAUGUUUUAAAAGCUAAAUCCUUCCGCGCACUUGCAAAUAAAAAACUCCCAGGGAUGCACUGGGGUUCUGUUAGAAGGCCGCUCGAACACUACAGACCGCGGAAGAUGCAAAUCAUACUAAACCGAGAAACUUCGGGGACUUUGAAAGGUGCGUCCGCUCCCCGUCCCCUUCUCGUCUGUCCUGGCAACAGCACGAUAAACAUGGUUCGGAUCAGAGGGAGGGGAGGGAAGAGGUUGGGGUGCAGGUCACGAAGCACACCAUGUUCACAGUUUAAGUCAAGAGAACUGUCUACGGUUGCCAGGAAUGUGUGGAAGCGAUUUCUGGAAUGGGGGUCCCCCCUGCGCUCAGAAGGGGCUGCCCCGGGUGCCCCGGGGAACUGGAAAGGUGCACUCUCCCAGGGAAGCAUCUAGUCCCCGGGAGGGAGAAUGCUCUCUGGGGUGACAGAGCAGGGAUCCUCUUUGUGUCAGGCUUCGUUUCUGGGCUCCAGGAGGAUGCCUUUCCAGCUGGCUUUUACUGAGGAUCUGUGACUUCUGCCAGAGGGAGCACCUGGCCAGCUUUUACCAGGCAAGGCCAGGGUCUUGUAGACAGCCCCUCCAGUGUAGGGGGCGGGGGUGGAUGGCGGCAGGGACGGGCUGCCUCAAACUGUCCACGGGCUUCUCGAAACACUGAUCUGCUCUGGAGACGGCUGUACCUAUCGCCCCAUUUUCCACUUGAAUAAAUAAAUAGAUAAAUAAAUAAAUAAAUAGACAGAUAGAGAGAGAAAUAAUGCCGUCAUUCUACAUCAACGACCAAGACCCAGCCUAUGUUAACGUGUGCAGCCUCAGGUCAGGGUUGAAAGCUGCUGGUACUAAGUCACCCUGACCUGGACUUCCUCUGUCCACUUCAAGUUACUGAUAAAAACCCUUGGGAGUGUGGCGGGGGGCCGGCCUACUUCCCACGCCUUCUGUGGGGGUCCUGCUUAUCGCCUCCCGGGUUCGAAAUCGCGUCUGUGACUUCGUGUCCCUGCGGCACAGACUCGGGACAUGCUUUUCCUUGAGGCAAGUACUUGUUUCUUAAGGUCUCAGGCAUCCUCCCUGAAUGCUUGGCCACCUGUACCUUACCUAGCCAAAAAGAAAGAAAAGGUAAAAUAAAAAACAAAACAAAACUCGAGCAAAACAAAAUCAAAUUUAAUGGUCUUAAAUGCAAAAGUAAAAACAAACAAAAAACACAAAAAAGCAAAAGAAAAUUAACAGAAACAGAACAACCCAAAAUGUCAAGGCAAGUUAUGAAGAGAACUUUGAGGGUUAAUCUUUAAAACUACAAAUCAAAGAUAUUUUUUUUGUUUUGUUUUGUUAAUAGAUAACUGGCAAGAAGUAAGUAUUUUUCUGCUGAGUGUUCAUACGAAAGCGAAAUACCAAAACAAAAUCUGACUAAAAUAGAAAAACGAAAAUGAAAACAAAACAAAAACAAAAAGAAAACAAAAAACAGAAACAAAGAAACUCUAGCGCUCACAAGAAGGGAUGCGAGAAAUACAAUGCUCAAAUGUUUAUGUGUUAUUAAAAAAUAGAGCUAUCGUUUGCAUUCAAGCUGUGUUAAACGCUCUCGGACACUGGCGGGUGAGGGGCGCCAGUAUCCGACAGGUGGGCACCGAGCGUGCGACGUGUGGGCAGGAACUCGGAGAGCAGGGUAGCAUGCCUGGAACCUGCAUCUGACUCUGGAAUAUAUGGAGUUUCCCUGAAACUCUUUGGUCCGUUCCCUUGGGUGCCUGGGCUUACGUAACACACCUGCGUCCUUCUCUGGAGGGCCUGGCCUGGGGCCA